AACGAACGCUGGCGGCAUGCCUAACACAUGCAAGUCGAACGAGACCUUCGGGUCUAGUGGCGCACGGGUGCGUAACGCGUGGGAAUCUGCCCUUGGGUUCGGAAUAACUUCGGGAAACUGAAGCUAAUACCGGAUGAUGACGUAAGUCCAAAGAUUUAUCGCCCAAGGAUGAGCCCGCGUAGGAUUAGCUAGUUGGUGAGGUAAAGGCUCACCAAGGCGACGAUCCUUAGCUGGUCUGAGAGGAUGAUCAGCCACACUGGGACUGAGACACGGCCCAGACUCCUACGGGAGGCAGCAGUGGGGAAUAUUGGACAAUGGGCGAAAGCCUGAUCCAGCAAUGCCGCGUGAGUGAUGAAGGCCUUAGGGUUGUAAAGCUCUUUUACCCGGGAUGAUAAUGACAGUACCGGGAGAAUAAGCCCCGGCUAACUCCGUGCCAGCAGCCGCGGUAAAGUGACUACUG
rnacentral:rRNA from 1 species